CCUACGGGUGGCUGCAGUAGGGAAUCUUCGGCAAUGGACGGAAGUCUGACCGAGCAACGCCGCGUGAGUGAAGAAGGUUUUCGGAUCGUAAAGCUCUGUUGUAAGAGAAGAACGAGUGUGAGAGUGGAAAGUUCACACUGUGACGGUAUCUUACCAGAAAGGGACGGCUAACUACGUGCCAGCAGCCGCGGUAAUACGUAGGUCCCGAGCGUUGUCCGGAUUUAUUGGGCGUAAAGCGAGCGCAGGCGGUUAGAUAAGUCUGAAGUUAAAGGCUGUGGCUUAACCAUAGUACGCUUUGGAAACUGUUUAACUUGAGUGCAGGAGGGGAGAGUGGAAUUCCAUGUGUAGCGGUGAAAUGCGUAGAUAUAUGGAGGAACACCGGUGGCGAAAGCGGCUCUCUGGCUUGUAACUGACGCUGAGGCUCGAAAGCGUGGGGAGCAAACAGGAUUAGAUACCCGAGUAGUC
rnacentral:rRNA from 1 species